rnacentral:rRNA from 1 species
UACGUAGGGUGCAAGCGUUGUCCGGAAUUAUUGGGCGUAAAGAGCUCGUAGGCGGUUCAGUAAGUCGGGUGUGAAAACUUUGGGCUUAACCCAAAGCGUGCAUCCGAUACUGCUGUGACUUGAGUUCGGUAGGGGAGUGGGGAAUUCCUAGUGUAGCGGUGAAAUGCGCAGAUAUUAGGAGGAACACCGGUGGCGAAGGCGCCACUCUGGGCCGAAACUGGAACGCUGAGGAGCGGAAAGCAUGGGAUAGCCAAACAGG